rnacentral:lncRNA from 1 species
CAUUCAGUGUGUCAUAGUAAGCACUCAAAUAUUAUUUUCAAAAUAAUUCAUUUCUGUAAAGAUUAUAGAGUAUUAUAGAAUAUAACCUAUAUAAAAGAAAAUAUUUCAAUAUAUUAAAUUACAUGAGUUUUUAUGUGGAUGCAUGUAAGUGGAUACACACACAUGAGCAUAGGCAUUUUAACUCUGAAUUUUCCAUACCCAAAUAAAUAAGAGAAACAAUUAGUGUAUUAAUCUGAGUCCAGUGAAGAGAAAGAGAAAUCACAAAGUAAUUUUAACAGAGAAACUCUAAUAUACAGAAUUAUUAAUUCUACCUGAGGUUGAAGUAAAAAGACAUUAGGUAGUAAGAAAUAAAGAGGACACCUAAAGAAUAUAGGAAUAGCAUAUAUAAUGAGCAGACACUACCCUUAGGGCUGAGAUAAAGUACUAUGGAAGAUAGCUCCUUCUUUAGGCCAGAGCUGAGAUUCAGACUCUGUGGAUAGCGUGUGGUAUGGCUCUCUGUAUGGCAGAGAAGUCACAGAGUCAUCUGCCAUGUGGCAGUUGCCAGAAAUCUCUUCUCUAAGAGUGCCCGGGAAGCUGUACAUGGGAACAUGUCUCACUAGCCACUGUUUGAGAGGGAUACAGGGGGAUGCUGAUGGCAAGCGGGUCCUUAUGGCUGGCUCAUGCUGGAGAAGCUGUACAUGCUGAGGGAUUUGGUAAUGAAGAAGCUGACCUGUAUUAAAAAGGACAUUAUAUAGUUAGGGCAAGAAUCUUACUAUAGUUGCUGAGCACCUAGGAAGCCAUGUGUCCUUAUUUAGGAGCCUGUUGAGAAAAUAAAGACAGGAGAACCUGAAAGCAAAACUUUUCCCCCUGCAAUGUUUCUCCCCAGCCCUCUUUUGACAAAGCUUAGCAAUGUGCCACUUGGCAAAGGAAAUAUGUUUAAAGGGCCCAUAUCCAUUUUUGCAUAGCAGACAAUGAAGGGUGAAUUUAGAGCUGAGAGGCAACAAAUUGAUAAAUGGAACAGUCCAUUAUCAUAUACACAUUGUCCACAUGAUAAAAGCAUUCCAGUUCCCAAAUUCUGGGACAUUUUCUCAAGUGUCCCCAUACAAACCUCUUAAAGAAGACCCUCAAUGAUGUAAAAAUAUUAUAUAAAUGACAAUGUCCUUAACAAAACCCAUGUAGAAAAGAUGACUGUAUUGUAUUAUAUUUAUAUAUUUCUUAGCAGUAUCUUUCUCAAUAUAGUCACACCAGUUUAUUCACUGUGGAAUUAUUCAACUCAAGUCUUAUUCCUAUGUUUCAGUUCAGGGAUCCUAAGUCAAUUAUUGUCUGAAGUAGAAAUACAUAAGUCUGGUUAAAUUUUACCAACCAUGUGAUCAACAGGCCUGGUGUCUGUGUCAAUAAGCCUUGUGCCAGCAAAACUCUUUGUAUUUUCAAUAGCAAAGGAUAGAGCAACAUUAUGGAUCAUAAAACAGGAGAAUCUAGAAUAUAGCCACCAUGGUUAAAAAACUUUUGGAAAAAUCUUUUGUGUCCCUCAGUUCUGAGGAAUCAGAGUCCACCAGUAUAAAAAAGGACGUUACACAGUGAGUGAUGAGAGUCUUGUUACUGUCCUUUAUUACAGAGUUGGUAAACUUUCUAUUAAAUGGUAAAAUAGUCAAUACUUUAGCCUCUACAAGCCAUACGGUGUCUGUUAAAACUAUUCAACUCUGCCGUUGUAGCUCAAAAGCAGCCAUAGACAAUAGAAAACAAGUUAGUUUGCUAUAGGUUGUUAGCCUGCUUUGGGGAUAAGAGAUGCUAUAUAAUUUUGUUGGUCUUCUGAGGUUUUCAUCCUGUACUUUGCCAAUGCAGGAACAUGCCAGUUCUUUCACUGGUCUUGAACAGAAGUCAGCAAACUUUUUUGCAGUAAAGGGUUAGGUACUAAAUAUCUUAUAGUUUAUGAGGCAUAUAUUGAUCUGUCACUUUUCUUUCUUCUCUCCCUUCUCCAUCUUUUUCUUCUUAACUACCCUUUAAAAAUAUAAAAAUCCCGGAGUUCCUGUCAUGGCACAGUGGUUAACAAAUCCAAGUAGGAGCCAUGAGGUUGUGGGUUCAAUCCCUGGCCUUGCUCAGUGGGUUAAGGAUCUGGCGUUGCCGUGAGCUGUGGUGUAGGUUGCAGACGCAGCUCAGAUCCCCCGUUGCUGUGGCUGUGGCCUAGGCCAGUGGCUACAGCUCCGACUAGACCCCUAGCCUGGAAACCUCCAUAUGCCUCAGGAAGCGGCCCUAGAAAAGGCAAAAAGACAAAAAAUAAAAAUAAAAAUCCCUCUCAGCUUGGACAUUCUACAAAACAGACCGUGGACUGUGGUUUUCCAACUCCUGAUCUAUAAGGAUGUUUUAAAAUGCUUUUGUUUUAAAUAUUAGAGAUUUAGGUGACACACUUAAAGGGAAUAAAUUGCAUUCAGUUUUUUGAUUGUUCCUCAGCAAGGUGUGACUAUUUGAGCAGAAUUGUUUUAUUGCCCUGAACUUACUCUUUUAUAUAUUCAUAAUUCGAGGUUCUCUCAUACUCCAGUAAAUAACUAAUCUUUGUUAGUCCCAGUUUGAUACUACAUGAUAUCUUUUAUCUUUUAUUCCUUGCAAAUUUUAUGCCAUUCUAUAGUUAUUUUCAUGGCCCACUUAAUUUAACAUUUUAUUAUAGAUGUUGCCUUAAAGAUGUUUAACUCUGUUGAAGCAAAACAUUUUCUUACCUAUUGAAAAAAUUUGUCAGCAUGACUUUGAAGGUUUCUAAUAUAAACUUCCCUCCACCCCCACCCCCUGUAAGGUGUGGCAGUAUUUGAGCUAUGUGAACUCAUACUUAACUAUGAUGUCUUUACUGUGCCUGUGGGAUAUUGCACCAGAACACAUUGUAUUUUCAGGCAAUGUUUCACACAGUGUAGAAGACAAGAGUUCUAGAAGUUGUUUCUAUGUUCAUCCAGGAUAUAGUUUCACUGUUCUUGAGGUAAGUACUCAAGGUCUGAUAAGAAAGAGGGUUGAGGGCUAUUUAUUUAGAGACUCUUGUUAAUAGCAGGCUCAAACUGUAUUCUCCUUGGUGUUGCAAAUAAUUCUUUUUCCUGUGUCAGGCUGAGUGUUAUGAGUCCAACGAAAGUUGGACAAGAAUUCACAAGUUGGUUUGAUAUAGUCCCACUUGUUUAUUUUAGCUUUUGGUGUUGGAUGCAAAAAUAUUAUUGCCAAGACCAGUGUCAAGGAGCUUACGCUUAUGUAUUCUUCUAAGAUUUUUUUUAGUUUUAGGUCUUAACUUUAAAUCUUUAAUUCAUUUUCAGUUGAUUUUUUUUUUUUUUGUAUGCUGUAGGGCAGGGGUUCAGUUUUAUCCUUUUGCAUGUGCUGCCUAGUUUUCCCAAUACCAUUGAUUGAAGAAACUAUCCUUUCCCCAUUGUAUACUCUUUGCUCUUUUUCAUAAAUUAAUUGACAAUACGUGCAUGGGGUUUAUUUCUGGUCUAUUUGUUCCUUUAAUCUAUGUGUCUGUUUUUCAUGAAUGUCAUAGUGUUUUGAUUUCUUUAGUUUUGUAAUAUAGUUUGAAUAAAGUGCAAUAUCUCUAACUUUGUUUUUCCUUUUCAAGAUUGCUUUGAUUGUUUAGGGUCACUUGUGGUUUAAUACAGAUUUUUCAGAUUGUUUUUCCUAUUUCUGUUAAAAAUACCAGUGAAACUUUGAUAGGUGAUAACACCAUAUUAUAUAAUUGAAAUUUUCUAAGUGAGUAGAACUUAAAUGUUCUCAUCAUAUAGAUAGAUAGAUGGAUAGAUAGAUAGAUAGAUAGAUAGAUAGAUAGAUAGAUAGAUAGAAUGAUGGAUACAUUAAUUAGAUAGAUGGGAGGAAUCUUUUCAUCAUGUACACAUAUAUCAAAUCAUCAUGACAUACACUUAAAUGUCUUACAAUUUUAUUUUUCAAUUGUACUUCAGUAAAGUCCAAAAAAACAAUUGACAUGUUGGAAAUUUCUAUUAUAACUUGGCUUUUUACUGUCAUUGUAAACUUGGGACAACUGAGUUACCUCCUCUAUUUCUUCGUAUAUGUUAUCUUUUACUUUGUUAUGCAUAAAAAACCUUUACUUUGUUACAAUGAUUAAAUAAUAGCUUUUUUACACAGAGCAAAGCCCUCUCUGUAUAAAAAUGGUGCCAUUUAUUGAACAACUGCCCUGUGCCAGCCAUUUUUAUGACAAUCCUAUGUCCUGUAAAAAAACCUGCAUUACUCACUUCUCAUUUCCUUAAGAGUUGAAUGGAGACAAAAACACAUCUGCUAGUUAAUUGUACAGAAUGUAUAUGCAUUCCAUAGUAUUUAAUAAAUUAUCUCUCUCAAAUUGCAUAUAUAUAUUGAAAGGGGACGUAGAAGUCUUUUAAAAUGAACAUCUAUUGAGCAGAAUUGAGUUGACCAUACUCAGUACAUGGCACACCUGCACAAAUCACUGUAAGGCAUUAUUUUUUAUUUUGUCAUUUUUUUAGAUGAAUCACAAUAUCCACUUGAUUCCCCUACCCCUUAUAUAUGCACACCCCAAUCUAACAUAUGUAUUGUAUUUUCUUCUCAUUGAUCUUCCACAUGUUUAUGUGGAUGUAUGCUUUUCCUUGAAAAAUAUGUUACAUAAUGCGCUUUUAAAAGGCACAUUGUAUUGUAUCAUAAAUUUAACUUCUGAAUACUUUUUUAAAAUUUGAGCUUAGAUAAAUCAAUCUUUACUGAUAUAUUGAAAUGUAUUAUCAGUUCUGAAGGCUGCAUGAAACAGCAGAUUGUAUGCCACAUACUAUUCAUUCAUUCUCUUUCUUGACGCAUACACUAACUCAAAUUCCUGACUGCUGUGGAAGAUGCUACCAUGAACAUCCACUGUGAUAGACUAUGGCUGCUCAUCACUAUUAACUGACCUCGUGGAGGACUCUUCUCUGCUUUGCUGAGCUUAGACUUACUCAUAUGAAUUACUUUCAUUGAUAAAACAUGAGCAGAAAAGUGAUGUAUAUCACUUCCAGAGAUGUGUGUGGUAUGUGCUUUGCCUCUGCCUCUUUGAGCAACAGUGUUCCAGAUAAUCCCUGCUCUGUCAGCCUGGGUCCUAGAGUCAGAGUGAUUAUUAUCAGAGCCAUCCUGCCUCAGAGUGUAUAAACAGCACAAAUGAAAAAUAAACUCUACUAUUAUAAGCCAAUAAGAUUUGGGAAAUAUUUAUUACUAUGAUGAAAUAUAUUCAAUUCUGACAUAUAAAAACUGAUGUCAUGAUUAGAUGAUACUAUAAAAUUGUUUCCCUUGAGAAGGGUUGAGGGCAUUUUGUUUGUAGAAAGGAGAAUGAACCUGGUAUGUGUGACGAAGGGGAGAACUGUGAUGGUGGUUAGCACUGUUCAAAAAUGUCAGUUUUCCAGCUAGAUGGUAGGAUUAUAUUUGUUAACCUCUAUUGGUUAUGUGUUCUUGUGCACUUGGUGUGAAAGUUUCUUUGGCCUAUUUACUCAGGAGCUGGACUAUGACAUUAUAAUCUACAUAGCUUUUCAUAGUGGAUACACCGAGUUAUGUACCUUUAACAAAGUGAGAAUCCUUCCCAUUUGCGAUAUUCUAAGAAACGCUUUAUAUAUACGUCUUUUUAAUUUUGUACAUCUUUUGGGGAAAUUUGCUUUUAUUGCUUUGAGGAUUCCUCAGAAUGUCAGGGAAAUUAAAGCUCUGGCAUUCCCAUCCUGGUGCAGUGGUUGGUGAAUCCGACUAGGAACCAUGAGGUUGUGGGUUCCAUCCCUGGCCUUGCUCAGUGGGUUGGGGAUCAGGCAUUGCAGUGAGCUGUGGUGUAGGUUGCAGACGCGGCUCGGAUCCUGCAUUGCUGUGGCUCUGGUGUAGGCUGGCGGCUACAGCUCUGAUUGGACUCCUAGCCUGGGAACCUCCACAUGCCGUGGGCGUGGCCCUAGAAAAGGCAAAAAGACAAAGAAAAAGAAAAAAGAAAAA